UACGUAGGCAGCAAGCGUUGUUCGGAGUUACUGGGCGUAAAGGGUGUGUAGGCGGUUGGAUAAGUGUGGUGUGAAAUCUCCCGGCUUAACUGGGAGGGUGCGCUACAAACUGUCUGGCUAGAGUGCGGGAUGGGAAAGUGGAAUUCCUGGUGUAGCGGUGAAAUGCGUAGAUAUCAGGAGGAACACCGGUGGUGUAGACGGCUUUCUGGACCAUAACUGACGCUGAGGCACGAAAGCGUGGGUAGCAAACAGG
rnacentral:rRNA from 1 species